rnacentral:ncRNA from 1 species
AAAUUACCGAUGAAAGAGAAAGUAAGAUAGUUGUUAAUGUUUUAGAAAGGUUCUCCUUGGCUGAAAGAGACCCCCUGACAAUUAUUUGAAAGACACUCUGGAGGUUUGAUAGUGAAAAGCUAUCACGUAGAAGGCGUUAACUUUAGAGUGAAAGUAGUUUGCUUUCUAAAUCUAGGUGGUACCACGUGACUUAAUUAUUAUACACGUCCUUCUU